GUAACACGUAAACAACCUGCCUUCAGGAUGGGGACAACAGACGGAAACGACUGCUAAUACCGAAUAAGUUCCAAGAGCCGCAUGGCCCAUGGAAGAAAAGGUGGCCUCUACCUGUAAGCUAUCGCCUGAAGAGGGGUUUGCGUCUGAUUAGCUGGUUGGAGGGGUAACGGCCCACCAAGGCGACGAUCAGUAGCCGGUCUGAGAGGAUGAACGGCCACACUGGGACUGAGACACGGCCCAAACUCCUACGGGAGGCAGCAUG
rnacentral:rRNA from 1 species